rnacentral:rRNA from 1 species
UACGUAGGGGGCAAGCGUUGUCCGGAUUUAUUGGGCGUAAAGCGCGUGUAGGCGGCCAGGUAGGUCGGUUGUGAAAACUGGAGGCUCAACCUUCAGAGGUCGACCGAAACCAUCUGGCUAGAGUCCGGGAGAGGAGACUGGAAUUCCUGGUGUAGCGGUGAAAUGCGCAGAUAUCAGGAGGAACACCGAUGGCGGAAGGCAGGUCUCUGGGCAUUAACUGACGCUGAGGAGCGAAAGCAUGGGGAGCGAACAGG